rnacentral:rRNA from 1 species
UAGGGAAUCUUGGACAAUGGGCGAAAGCCUGAUCCAGCGACGCCGCGUGGGGGACGAAGGCCCUCGGGUUGUAAACCCCUGUUGUUGGGAAAGAAGCCGGCCUUUCGGGGUUGGUGACGGUACCCAACGAGGAAGCCCCGGCUAACUACGUGCCAGCAGCCGCGGUAAGACGUAGGGGGCGAGCGUUAUCCGGAUUCACUGGGCGUAAAGGGCGCGCAGGCGGCUACGUAAGUCCGGCGUGAAAUCCCAUGGCUUAACUGUGGAACUGCGUCGGAUACUGCGUUGGCUUGAGGAUGGUAGAGGCCAUUAGAACUAGCGGUGUAGCGGUGAAAUGCGCAGAUAUCGCUAGGAAUGCCGGUGGCGAAGGCGGAUGGCUGGGCCACUCCUGACGCUGAGGCGCGAAAGCUAGGGGAGCGAACCG